rnacentral:rRNA from 1 species
UACGUAGGGUGCGAGCGUUGCCCGGAUUUAUUGGGCGUAAAGGGCGCGCAGGCGGUUCUGUUUGUCGAGUGUGAAAGCCCCGGGCUUAACCUGGGAAUGGCAUUGGAAACUGGCUCGCUGGAGUGUGGCAGAGGGGGGUGGAAUUCCGCGUGUAGCAGUGAAAUGCGUAGAGAUGCGGAGGAACACCGAUGGCGAAGGCAGCCCCCUGGGCUAACACUGACGCUCAGGCACGAAAGCGUGGGGAGCAAACAGG